CACUAACGUUCUUUGACAAUCCCCCAGAUUCUACCACUCACCACUACAAGAAACAAUGUACAGAGGCCUGUCAAUCUGUAUGUCUUUGGGAUGUGGAAGAAAAUCAGAGCACCCAGAGGAAACCCACAUAGUGACAGGGAGAACAUACAAAGUCCACACAGGCGUGAACCGAUGUCAAAAUUGAGCCAGAGUCUCUGGACCUGUAAAGAAGCAGCUCUACUAAUUGGCAGGUUCUACCUAUCAGGCUUGCUACUGAGAAACUGCUAAAAAAGGAUGCACAAAAGGUGAAUACAUAUAUAGAAGAAAUGGAAUUGAAGAGCAGAGAGAUUUUCGAUGUCACCUUCAAUCUUGGAAAGGCGCAGUGGACAAUUCUGAUUUGAUGGAGACAGACGUGAAAGCACAGAGGAACAUCUGGAGAAAUUUCUGAAACACCGGUUCGCUGCCACUGUUACUGGGCGAUCGAGAAUCUUCCGGAGGGAAGGCCCCAAAAUUCCCUGCUUUGCCUGCUGCUGACGACCAAGGCUGAGGUCGAAUCGUUCGGAUAGAGAUGGCGCUCGGUACUCGUGUCGGAGGGCUGAUCGGAGGCUCGAAGUUUUCGGACGACUCAGAGUCGGACUGUGGUCGGACAUGGCAGGGAGAGUUUUCUUCUUUCUCCCGUCUGCGUGAGAUAUGGGACAUUUGAGAGACUUUGAACUUUUUUAC